UACGUAGGGUGCAAGCGUUGUCCGGAAUUAUUGGGCGUAAAGAGCUCGUAGGCGGUUUGUUGCGUCGGCUGUGAAAUCCUGAGGCUCAACCUCGGGUCUGCAGUCGAUACGAGCAAACUAGAGUGUUGCAGGGGAGACUGGAAUUCCUGGUGUAGCGGUGAAAUGCGCAGAUAUCAGGAGGAACACCGGUGGCGAAGGCGGGUCUCUGGGCAACAACUGACGCUGAGGAGCGAAAGCGUGGGGAGCGAACAGG
rnacentral:rRNA from 1 species